rnacentral:tRNA from 1 species
AACUAUUUAACUAAAAGGUAAGUUCAUGUCUUGAAUACAUGUCACAGUUGUUCAAUUCAACUAAUAGUUU